GCGGGUGUAGCUCAAUGGUAGAGCAGCAGCCUUCCAAGCUGAAUACGAG
rnacentral:tRNA from 1 species